GAUCCUGGCUCAGGAUGAACGCUAGCUACAGGCUUAACACAUGCAAGUCGAGGGGCAGCAUGGUCUUAGCUUGCUAAGACUGAUGGCGACCGGCGCACGGGUGAGUAACACGUAUCCAACCUGCCGUCUACUCUUGGACAGCCUUCUGAAUGGAAGAUUAAUACAAGAUGGCAUCAUGAGUCCGCAUGUUCACAUGAUUAAAGGUAUUCCGGUAGACGAG
rnacentral:rRNA from 1 species